rnacentral:lncRNA from 1 species
CAGGUGGGCACUCCUGAGGCUGCAGAGUGGAGGAGACCACCAACACUGCCCACCCGUACCCACAUCCCUGGCCCAAGAGGCAACUGUAUAAGGCCUCUGGGUUCCCAUAGGGGAGGGCCCAGGAGCGGCAGGACCCCUGCGCCUGAGACACCGCCGGAACCUGAAGGAAACAGACCGGAUAAACAGUUCUCUGCACCCAAAUCUCGUGGGAGGGAGAGCUAAACCUUCAGAGGCAGACACGCCUGGGAAACCAGAAGAGACUGCACUCUGCGCAUGUCCAGACGCCAGAGGAAAACACCAAACGCCAUCUGGAAGCCUAGUGCACGGAGGCUCCCGGAAAGAGCGGCGCAGAUCUUCCUGGUUGCUGCCGCCACGGAGAGGACAUAGGCAGUACCCCACGAGCAAACUUGAGCCUUGGAACCACAGGUAGGACCAACUUUUCCCCUGCAAGAAACCUGCCUGGUGAACUCAAGACACAGGCCCACAGGAACAGCUGAAGACCUGUAGAGAGGAAAAACUACAGGCCCGAUAGCAGAACACUGUCCCCAUAACUGGCUGAAAGAAAACAGGAAAA